rfam:Glycine soja cultivar W05 scaffold4255_3, whole genome shotgun sequence.
UUCUGAUUGGACGAUAACUGUCACGUAUCAUGUUUCAAUUGGAUGUUGAUUCUAUGGACGAUGAAAUGCAUUGUUGUCAUUGGCCAAUCAGAAUAUGACACAUGACAUCUAUCGUCC